UACGGGGGGAGCAAGCGUUGUUCGGAUUUACUGGGCGUAAAGGGCGCGUAGGCGGUCAGCACAAGUCAGUUGUGAAAUCUCCGGGCUUAACUCGGAAAGGUCAACUGAUACUGUGCGACUAGAGUGCGGAAGGGGCAACUGGAAUUCUCGGUGUAGUGGUGAAAUGCGUAGAUAUCGAGAGGAACACCUGCGGCGAAGGCGGGUUGCUGGGCCGACACUGACGCUGAUGCGCGAAAGCUAGGGGAGCGAACGGG
rnacentral:rRNA from 1 species